AGGCGGACGGGUGAGGAACGCGAGGAUCUGCCCUUCAGCGGGGGACAACCCGGGGAAACUCGGGCUAAUACCGCAUACGCUCCACGGAGGAAAGCCGGGGACCGCAAGGCCUGGCACUGAAGGACGAGCCCAAGUCGGAUUAGCUAGUAGUGGUAACGGCUCACCUAGCGACGAUCCCUACUGGUCUGAAGGAUGACCAGCCACACUGGAACUGAACACGGUCCAGACUCCUACGGGAGGCAGCAGUGGGGAAUAUUGCACAAUGGGCGCAAGCCUGAUGCAGCCAUGCCGCGUGUAUGAAGAAGGCCUUCGGGUUGUAAAGUACUUUCAGCGGGGAAGGAAGGUGUUGUGGUUAAUAACCACAGCAAUUGGACGUUACCCGCAGAAGAAGCACCCGGCUAACUCCGUGCCCAGCCAGCCGCGGUAAUACGGAAGGGUGCAAGCGUUAAUCCGGAAUUAUUGGGGCGUUAAAGCGCCACGCAGGCGGGUCUGUCAGUUCGGAUGUGAAAUUCCCCCGGGGCUCAACCUGGGGAACUGCAUUUCGAAAACUGGCAGGGCUAAAGUCUUGGUAAAGGGGGGGGUACAAAUUCCCCAGGUUGU
rnacentral:rRNA from 1 species